AACGAACGCUGGCGGCAUGCCUAACACAUGCAAGUCGAACGAGACCUUCGGGUCUAGUGGCGCACGGGUGCGUAACGCGUGGGAACCUGCCCUUAGGUUCGGAAUAACUCCCCGAAAGGGGUGCUAAUACCGGAUAAUGUCUUCGGACCAAAGAUUUAUCGCCCUUGGAUGGGCCCGCGUUGGAUUAGCUAGUUGGUAGGGUAAAAGCCUACCAAGGCGACGAUCCAUAGCUGGUCUGAGAGGAUGAUCAGCCACACUGGGACUGAGACACGGCCCAGACUCCUGCGGGAGGCAGCAGUGGGGAAUCUUGGACUAUGGGCGAAAGCCUGAUCCAGCAAUGCCGCGUGAGUGAUGAAGGCCUUAGGGUUGUAAAGCUCUUUUACCCGGGAUGAUAAUGACAGUACCGGGAGAAUAAGCUCCGGCUAACUCCGUG
rnacentral:rRNA from 1 species